rnacentral:rRNA from 1 species
AACGAACGCUGGCGGCAGGCCUAACACAUGCAAGUCGAACGCUGUAGCAAUACAGAGUGGCAGACGGGUGAGUAACGCGUGGGAACGUGCCCUUUGGUUCGGAAUAACCCAGGGAAACUUGGGCUAAUACCGGAUACGUCCGUAAGGAGAAAGAUUUAUCGCCAAAGGAUCGGCCCGCGUCGGAUUAGCUAGUUGGUGAGGUAAAGGCUCACCAAGGCGACGAUCCGUAGCUGGUCUGAGAGGAUGACCAGCCACACUGGGACUGAGACACGGCCCAGACUCCUACGGGAGGCAGCAGUGAGGAAUAUUGGACAAUGGGCGCAAGCCUGAUCCAGCCAUGCCGCGUGAGUGAAGAAGGCCUUAGGGUUGUAAAGCUCUUUCAGCGGGAAGAUAAUGACGGUACCGCAGAAGAAGCCCCGGCUAACUCCGUGCCAGCCGCCGCCGUAAG